UCAGCUCUCCUGACAUAUAGGGCUUGAUCAUUACUGGUAGGGAUUGUUCUGUGAAUUGCUUACUACUACCCCUGGUCUCUCCCCAGUAGAUGCCAGGAACAUUCUAGCUGAUACCUAACUGUCUUCCCAGGUGUUCGAGGGAGCAAACCACUGAUCUAAACUCUAAACGCUGAAGUACGCAGGUUUUCUAAAAAUGACAAGCCCUUGAAACCUUUCCCAGUAGGCAGCCUCGAGCUGGACUUGUGUCUUUGGAAUGCUGAUGAAUUCUAUAGAUCAGCAUUGCAAAUACACUUCAAAUACGUCUGAGUUCAAGUGCAGGGACUGAGUUCACCAAGGUGUGAAAUGUGCUCAAAAAGUUCAAAAGUGUGUGUUUCUUUGUUUCUAAAACAUUGUGGCAUCUUUUUCAUUUGUUUCUAAAACUUUUUUUUUAGAAACAAAUGAAGCACUUGGAAAGUGAAAGUAAAAUUACAAAUAUAAGGAUUUACACUGAAGAGAGAAAAAUUUUAGGAACUAUAGCUGUGAAAAGAUUUUGUUCAAAAGGCAGGCUAGCCUUACCCAAAUUCAUAUAUGGCAGGUGUCAACCUCCCAAGCUUACAGUUAGCAGGCAGCUUUUGCUCACUCAUCCUUAGCCAUGAGAGCCAUUAAGUGUGGUCCAAGAAAGAUGGCUCCAAACCCUACCCCCGACCCACCAGUGGUAUUCAGAGAUUAAAGCAGAAUUGUAAAUAGUGGCUUCAGGAGCUCUUUUUUAGAAUGCUUUGCCCCUUCCUCUCACUGCCUUUUUUAGCCAAUAUAAAUGUCAAUUUGCACACCUUUUGUUGUGGUUUUAUAUUGUAACAGCAUUUUUUUGAAACUAUUGUAUUUAAGAUAAGGUUUCAUAUUAUGUCCACAAGUAAUUAAAUUAUGUUUGAAGGUGGCUAUAUGCUGUAUCAGAAGUUGAUGAUGUUUUUCUUUAGCUGGUAAAGGAGGGUUUUGCAUGACCUCACUGUUUGUUCUGUGGUUUGUUCUGUUGUAUGAUGUGUGUCUUGAGUUUUGCUGUGUGAUGAAGUGCGCUGAGAUUCCAGUGCCCUCAAGUUGUGUUUUAAGUAGCUAUCAGAGGCAAGAGGGUUCCUAAGAGCAGGUUGACCUGUUGGCGACAGAUGGCAAUCACCAUUUCUCAUUCCUUCUUCUCCCUGUUACCCCAGCUUCCUGUCCCAGGUCCCUUCUGUGAUUCUUACCUUAGUGUGCAUGUGUGUCUGUCCUGGUGAGAGUCAGGAGCAUCGAUAUGUUAUCAUUGCAUUAUCACCAAGGGCACGCACAGCCUAGCACCUGUUGCUUCAGAUACCGUCACACUCUGUUUCCAAUUUAGAUACAACCACAUAAUAAAAUGUUAGAGUCUUCAAUGGGAAGCAGAGGUGCUUGUUAUAAAGAUGGGGGCUUAUGCUUGUGUCACAUUUUGUGUUCUUUUCUUCUUUUGUUUGGUUUUAACUUAAUUGUGACCCUUGUAACAUCAUCUUGCCAAAAAAAAAAAAAAAGUUGAACUGGAUUUAUGUAGACAUGUCAAGACGUACUAUCUAUUUCUUUGUCAGUUAUAGCAAUAAGAGUGGAUAAACUCUAAAAUCCAGAUCUCCCACAAUGAACAUCCGUGUUCUUUCUAUGAUUUUUCUUUCUUUAUGGUGAGCCACAAUUAAACUUGAGAUGUACAGCCACCCAAACCCAGGAAGCUCAUGUGCAUCUGGUGCUAUGGCACUCACUGUGAAUAAGUGUGACCAGAUAUUAAUAUGCAAUAUUGUUUCCAAUCCUUUCUAAUACAUUUUUUC
rnacentral:lncRNA from 1 species